rnacentral:rRNA from 1 species
UCCAGAGGAAGGCUCGUCCGCUCUGGGUUAGUCGGGUCCUAAGCUGAGGCCGACAGGCGUAGGCGAUGGAUAACAGGUUGAUAUUCCUGUACCACCAUUAUUCGUUUUAAGCGAUGGGGGGACGCAGUAGGAUAGGCGAAGCGUGCUGUUGGAGUGCACGUCCAAGCAGUGAGAUUGAGUGUUAGGCAAAUCCGGCACUCUUAAGAUUGAGCUGUGAUGGGGAGAGGAACUUGUUCCUCGAGUCGUUGAUUUCACACUGCCGAGAAAAGCCUCUAGCUAGAAUAACGGUGCCCGUACCGCAAACCGACACAGGUAGUCAAGAUGAGAAUUCUAAGGUGAGCGAGCGAACUCUCGUUAAGGAACUCGGCAAAAUGACCCCGUAACUUCGGGAGAAGGGGUGCUCUUUGAGGUUCACGCUUCGAAGAGCCGCAGUGAAUAGGCCCAAGCGACUGUUUAUCAAAAACACAGGUCUCUGCUAAACCGUAAGGUGACGUAUAGGGGCUGACGCCUGCCCGGUGCUGGAAGGUUAAGAGGAGUGGUUAGCGCAAGCGAAGCUACGAAUCGAAGCCCCAGUAAACGGCGGCCGUAACUAUAACGGUCCUAAGGUAGCGAAAUUCCUUGUCGGGUAAGUUCCGACCCGCACGAAAGGCGUAACGAUUUGGGCACUGUCUCAACGAGAGACUCGGUGAAAUCAUAGUACCGGUGAAGAUGCCGGUUACCCGCGACAGGACGGAAAGACCCCGUGGAGCUUUACUGUAGCCUGAUAUUGAAAUUCGGUACAGUUUGUACAGGAUAGGUAGGAGCCUUAGAAGCGUGAGCGCUAGCUUACGUGGAGGCAUUGGUGGGAUACUACCCUAAUUGUAUUGGAUUUCUAACCCGCAGCACUUAUCGUGCUGGGAGACAGUGUCAGGCGGGCAGUUUGACUGGGGCGGUCGCCUCCUAAAGAGUAACGGAGGCGCUCAAAGGUUCCCUCAGAAUG